UGCAGAAUCCCGUGAACCAUCGAGUCUUUGAACGCAAGUUGCGCCCGAAGCCUUUAGGGCGAGGGCACGCCUGCCUGGGCGUCA
rnacentral:rRNA from 1 species